rnacentral:misc_RNA from 1 species
ACAAGCUUUAUUUUCGCAGAAAAUCUCUAAAGGCUACAAUUCUCAUCAAAGAGCCAACAAUUGUAAAUAAUUAAGGUGUUUAUCUGCUUGCCUAACAGGCCGACUUUAUUCUCUUGCAAUAACCAAAGCGUUUAUCUGCCUGCCUAACAGCCGACUUUACUCGCCCGCUAUAACUAAAGCGUUUAUCCGCUUGCCUAACAUGCCGAUUUUACUUGCCCGCCAUAACUAAGGUGUUUAUUCACCUAUCUAAUGGGCUGAUUUUACUCGCCUAUCAUAACUAAGGCAUUUAUCCGCCUACUUAAUGGGCCAACUUUACUCGCUUGCCCUAACUAAGGUGUACAUCCGCCUGCCUACUAGGCUGAAUUUACUUGUCCUCCCUGACUAAUGCAUUUAUCUGCUCGUCUAACGGGCUGACUUUACUUACUUGCCCUGACUAAGGCAUUUAUCUGCCUACCUACCGAGCCGACUUUACUCGCCCACCUUGAUUAAGAUGUUUAUCUGCUUGCCUAAUAGGCCGACUUUACUCGCUUGCCCUGACUAAGGUGUUUAUUUGCCUGCCCAUUGAGAUGAUCAUUCUCCCAUUCGAACCUAAGGUGUAUAUCCGUCUACCAAGAAGACUAAAGCAUUUAUUUGCUUGGCUACCAGAUUGAUCACUCGACCAUCCUAUCUAAGGCAUAUAUCUGCUUGUCUCGCCCA